UGGUAACCUGCAUGUUGUCUUUAGGA
rnacentral:piRNA from 1 species